AUUGAACGCUGGCGGCAGGCUAAACACAUGCAAGUCGAGCGGAGCGAGGGUGCUUGCACCUUAGCUUAGCGGCGGACGGGUGAGUAAUGCUUAGGAAUCUGCCUAUUAGUGGGGGACAACAUUCCGAAAGGAAUGCUAAUACCGCAUACGCCCUACGGGGGAAAGCAGGGGAUCUUCGGACCUUGCGCUAAUAGAUGAGCCUAAGUCGGAUUAGCUAGUUGGGGGGGUAAAGGCCUACCAAGGCGACGAUCUGUAGCGGGUCUGAGAGGAUGAUCCGCCACACAGGGACUGAGACACGGCCCAGACUCCUACGGGAGGCAGCAGUGGGGAAUAUUGGACAAUGGGCGGAAGCCUGAUCCAGCCAUGCCGCGUGUGUGAAGAAGGCCUUUUGGUUGUAAAGCACUUUAAGCGAGGAGGAGGCUACUUAGAUUAAUACUCUGGGAUAGUGGACGUUACUCGCAGAAUAAGCACCGGCUAACUCUGUGCCAGCCGCCGCAGUAA
rnacentral:rRNA from 1 species